UACGUAGGGGGCAAGCGUUGUCCGGAUUUAUUGGGCGUAAAGAGCGUGUAGGCGGCCUGACAGGUCUGCUGUGAAAACUCGAGGCUCAACCUCGAGAUGUCGGCGGAAACCGUCUGGCUAGAGUCCGGAAGAGGAGAGUGGAAUUCCUGGUGUAGCGGUGAAAUGCGCAGAUAUCAGGAAGAACACCUGCGGCGAAGGCGGGUUGCUGGGCCGACACUGACGCUGAUGCGCGAAAGCCAGGGGAGCGAACGGG
rnacentral:rRNA from 1 species